rnacentral:rRNA from 1 species
GCAGUCGAGCGGACAGAAGGGAGCUUGCUCCCGGAUGUUAGCGGCGGACGGGUGAGUAACACGUGGGUAACCUGCCUGUAAGACUGGGAUAACUCCGGGAAACCGGAGCUAAUACCGGAUAGUUCCUUGAACCGCAUGGUUCAAGGAUGAAAGACGGUUUCGGCUGUCACUUACAGAUGGACCCGCGGCGCAUUAGCUAGUUGGUGGGGUAAUGGCUCACCAAGGCGACGAUGCGUAGCCGACCUGAGAGGGUGAUCGGCCACACUGGGACUGAGACACGGCCCAGACUCCUACGGGAGGCAGCAGUAGGGAAUCUUCCGCAAUGGACGAAAGUCUGACGGAGCAACGCCGCGUGAGUGAUGAAGGUUUUCGGAUCGUAAAGCUCUGUUGUUAGGGAAGAACAAGUGCGAGAGUAACUGCUCGCACCUUGACGGUACCUAACCAGAAAGCCACGGCUAACUACGUGCCAGCAGCCGCGGUAAUACGUAGGUGGCAAGCGUUGUCCGGAAUUAUUGGGCGUAAAGGGCUCGCAGGCGGUUUCUUAAGUCUGAUGUGAAAGCCCCCGGCUCAACCGGGGAGGGUCAUUGGAAACUGGGAAACUUGAGUGCAGAAGAGGAGAGUGGAAUUCCACGUGUAGCGGUGAAAUGCGUAGAGAUGUGGAGGAACACCAGUGGCGAACGCGACUCUCUGGUCUGUAACUGACGCUGAGGAGCGAAAGCGUGGGGAGCGAACAGGAUUAGAUACCCUGGUAGUCCACGCCGUAAACGAUGAGUGCUAAGUGUUAGGGGUUUCCGCCCC